CUACGGGUGGCAGCAGUAGGGAAUUUUGCGCAAUGGACGAAAGUCUGACGCAGCAACUCCGCGUGAGGGAUGAAGGCUUUCGGGUUGUAAACCUCUGUUGGCAGGGAAGAAAAGCUUGGUGAAGAGCCAAGUCUGACGGUACCUGCUGAGGAAGCACCGGCUAACUACGUGCCAGCAGCCGCGGUAAUACGUAGGGUGCAAGCGUUAUUCGGAAUUACUGGGCGUAAAGGGGGGAAAGGAGGGAAGGUAUGAAAUUUACGGGCUCAACCUGUAACGUGCUUUUAAUACUGCUUUUCUUGAGUAUUGGAGAGGUAGACGGAAUUCCAGGUGUAGCGGUGGAAUGCGUAGAUAUCUGGAAGAACACCAGUUGCGAAGGCGGUCUACUGGCCAAAUACUGACGCUGAGACUCGAAAGUUAGGGGAGCAAACAGGAUUAGAUACCCCAGUAGUC
rnacentral:rRNA from 1 species